CAGGGGAGAGGUGUGCUCAGAAGUUACAGGCACCGGGUGAAGCUCCGGGUGGUGCAGGUUGGCAGUGGCCCCGGCAGUGAGGAGACUCAGCCGCUGUGGACCUGAAACCCACACAUGCUUCUGCUACAGAACUGCCUGCUUGAGAAAGAAAUGGCAACCCAAUCCAGUGUCCCUGCCUGGAGAAUCCCACGGACAGAGGAGCCUGGAGGGCUGCAGCCCAUGGAGUUGCCAAGAGUCGGACACGACUGAAGCAACUUAGUACGCAUUAUUCACCAAAUACGCUGACAAGGCCAUGGAAAGUGUUCUUCAUGAUGAGACCUCAGCUGAGAAACACUGAGUGACCUCCCAGGACCACUCAGUUGUUAGAGGCAGAAUCACUGCUUAGAUCUGGAUCUAAUAGCUACCAAACACAGAAAUGAACUAGCAGAAUCAACUUAUGCUCAAGACUCUGUUUGAGCCAAUGAUUCUCUCUCUAAGGAAAAUCUUCACAUGAAUUUAAAACGUUGAACACUUUUAGAGUGCCAGGCAGAAAUCUAGAGCUGAACCAUGCGUGAGCGCACCCGCUGGUUGCUGCGGCCACCACUGACCCAGCCUGCUCCCACACGGCCUGCACUCAUGACGAAGGCUCACCCUGGCAGAGCAGGCCUAGAGACGUAAGAGGCAGACUAAAGAAGCACAGUGAGGGCCCUGACCAUCUAGGAGAUCCUGGGGCGGAGACAGCCAUCUCUGAAGUGGGGACACACGGGCUGCCUCUUUGAGAGUAAAGAAAAAUCUAUUCUCAAACAAAAAGAGUCUACAUUGAAGAAGUACCCUCUCCAAAUGUACAACCGUGACUUAUUGACAAACAAGUCCCUGCAGUACUGAGCACAGCACAGAGUGCCAAGCGUGCCGCUGACAGUCAAACGGAAACUCCAACUAAACAACAUACAAAAAGGUAACAAGGGCAGAAGGACUUAAAUUAUACUGAUAGAAACCAAAACCAUAUGAAAUGCAGGAGAACUAUUUGAAGACCAAUACUUCUGUAAAAAUAAAUAUUUAACUCUAGGACCUAUUCUCACAGCAAGUUACAAAAAUAGAAUACAGUAUUAAACAAAUACAUGAAUAUAUCAAAAUUGGUUUAUAAAACAUUUUACUUUUGAGAAACCUAUUUCUCUUCCCUCCCUGUUCUAAUAAUUAUGUUCUUAGAUAUAUUUUGAUAAAACACUGUGAGCUUUGACUGGAUGACAGAUGGUCUUUGGAUUGUUUUCACAGAUACAAAAUCUCUCUCAGAAGGUUCUGAACUUGAAAUUUAUUUACUCUGAGUGUCACAAGCUGGGACAGAUUUAGGGUCACAGUAACUCCUUACCAACAACACUCCCAUCCGACAGUCUCCCAGCCAUCCAAGGGACUGCCCCUUGUUUCAAACAUCCUAUUCAGACAGAGUGAACUGCUGCCAAAUUUGGAAUGAUUGCAUGAUAGAUGAGGGUGUGAAUUAGACCAAAAUGUAGGGCAUUUCACAUGUCAUGAGUCCAUGUUCUGCCUAAAUAGAGGUCUUUUUUAUCCUUUUCGGAAGUUGGGGACAAGAGAACCAUGGAGGCAUAUUCGACACAGUGCUGCAGAAGAGGACCACUGAUACAGAUUUGAAGGAAGCUUCAGUAUUCUUCUGCCAACUCUCAAGAAACUGCCCAGGUACACAAAAAGGUUUUCUAGCAGUAUUUCGACUCUUUAUCUUUUUACGUUACCACUGCAUGUCUACAGCCCAACAGGAGUGGCAUUCAUAGUGAUCCUGCAGCUCUCAAGCGGUUUUAAAAGUGCCUUCUGAUUCACUUCACAAGAUGAUCAACUGCACAGCUGGGAAUUCACUGCAGUUUAUGGUGCGGCGAUACUUAGAAAGGGAGGUCUAUGUGUGAAUGUGCAAGUGUGACCAUGUGUUUGCUCUUUGUUAACCACAGUAUUUGUGUAGAAUACAUCGUCUUAUGAUCACAGAACUUUGAUUUAAAUAGUGCCAAUCUGUCCAGUAUGAUUGAAAGCAGUAAAUACCAUGGCAUUUGUGUUUGAAUUUCAUGCUUUUUGCCUUUUUUCUUUUCACAAUUAAUUAUUAUUAAAAUGUAUCAUGGUACCUAUUUGUCAGCAAGCCACUCAAAAAGAUGCCCUUGAAAAUAUUUCCAAGCAGCUUUUCCUUCUCCUGCUGCCCUCUAGAAGCAAAAAUAGAUCCACCUAACACAAGAAAAUAUUUUCCAGAGCUUCAGCUGUGUCAUAACAGUUAAAACUCAGCUAAUUUCCAAGUUCUGUGUUCCCACCUUCUCCACAGCAUUUCAAACCUUCUGAAAUGACAAGCUUCUUUAAUGGUGUGUUUUAUUCCUGGGAAAAGAGCAAUUAUAUGGAUACUUGGGUACUCUAGAUAAAACCUGGCAGUGAGGAUGGGCCUCGGGUCCCAGUCAUCCAGACAUACUGCAAGGAGUCCCCAUCGUCCAGAAGGUUUGCU